GACUAUGGCCAUGCUAUGCUGAACAAACCCGAUCCCAUCUGAUCUCGGAAGCUAAGCAGGGUUGGGCCUGGUUAGUACUUGAGUGGGAGACCACCCAGGAAGACCAGGUGCUGUAGGCA
rnacentral:rRNA from 1 species